AUUUAACGCUGGCGGCAGGCCUAACACAUGCAAGUCGAACGGUAACAGGAAGCAGCUUGCUGCUUUGCUGACGAGUGGCGGACGGGUGAGUAAUGUCUGGGAAACUGCCCGAUGGAGGGGGAUAAAUACUGGAAACGGUAGCUAAUACCGCAUAAUGUCGCAAGCCCAAAGAGGGGGACAGUCGGGCCUCUUGCCAUCGGAUGUGCCCAGAUGGGAUAAGCUUGUUGGUGAGGUCACGGCUCACCAAGGCGACGAGCCCUAGCUGGUCUGAGAGAUGACCAGCCACACUGGAACUGAGACACGGUCCAGACUCCUACGGGAGGCAGCAGUGGGGAAUAUUGCACAAUGGGCGCAAGCCUGAUGCAGCCAUGCCGCGUGUAUGAAGAAGGCCUUCGGGUUGUAAAGUACUUUCAGCGGGGAGGAAGGGGUUAAGGUUAAUAACCUUAGCCAUUGACGUUACCCGCAGAAGAAGCACCGGCUAACUCCGUGCCAGCCGCCGCGGUAA
rnacentral:rRNA from 1 species